AUACUCUGGUUUCUCUUCAAAACGAAUAAAUCUUUCACCUUUUACUAAAGAUUUCCGUGGAGAGGGACAGUUAUGAGUUGGUAACCAAAUUUUUUGAGGUCUUGCUUAGGCAAGGCU
rnacentral:snRNA from 1 species